CCUUGGCUGAAUAGAUAGGCUAAGGAGGGGAACCGCGGGAACUGAAACAUCUUAGUACCGCGAGGAAGAGAAAGAAGUAUCGAUUCCCUAAGUAGCGGCGAGCGAAAGGGGAGGAGCCCAAACCCGCAGCAUGUAAGUCUGCAGGCGUUGUGUUGCGGGGGUUGUAGGGGUUGCCGUUGGAUAUCUGCAGGUAUCCGGAUGGCAGGCAGUACUCUAGCCGAAGAGGUCUGGAACGGCCCACCGUAGGUGGUGAUAGUCCAGUAGGCGAAAGGGGAAGGCCGCCAUGGGCGACUACCUGAGUACCACGGGGCACGAGGAACCCCGUGGGAAGCUGGGAGGACCACCUUCCAAGGCUAAAUACUACCUGGCGACCGAUAGUGAACUAGUACCGUGAGGGAAAGGCGAAAAGAACCCCGGGAGGGGAGUGAAAUAGAACCUGAAACCAUGUGCCUACAAACAGUGGGAGGACGUUCGGGUCUGCUUAGCGGGCCACGAGUCUGACCGCGUACUUUUUGUAGAACGGACCGGCGAGUUACAUCUACGGGCGAGGUUAAGCGGGAAAACGCGGAGCCGCAGCGAAAGCGAGUCUUAAUAGGGCGAAGGAGUCCGUUGGAGUAGACCCGAAACCGGG
rnacentral:rRNA from 1 species